AUAGUGAACGACUUUUUUUGCUUACCCGGCACUUACUUCUGUUCCUGUUUGCUUGGGGGACACACGUGGGACCAAUGUUCACGCCUGUCUGACAACUAUGGUAACUCUGGACCUCUCCGUCGGCUCUCCCCUUAGGAAUAUUAAUUUUCAAAUUUCCCGCUCUUUUAUGGCUCAACCAACACCUCUGGCAGGCAAAAACCCUUCAAGUCUGUGUUCGAUACAAAGUGUUUGCGUGUUUGCACUUUAAUCUCAUCAGGAGGGGCUAUUUGCGAAUUGGCAAUGGUUCCACGUUCCAUUGGACUACGACGUCAUGCGGAUGGAAGUGAAUGGGUGCCUUGAUCAGUAGGGUUUGUUCGUGGAGAAUGGGCGCUCGCAUCAUUCUCGCCAGUUUUCCAAAAGAUCCUAAUGAUCUCAAAUUGUUCCCUUGCUCAUGGCGUCUUCAUCCGCCUUUAAUUGAAACAUUACCUUCCUCUCAUCUAGAAGACCCCCUCGAACUCAUUUCCCUCGUCAUCGUCGUCAUCAUCAUCCCUUUGGAACACCCCUCGGCUCAGUGUUUACCUAUUCGAAGAACUCGAAGAAGUCCCAGGGUCCCUAAAUUGGCCUCACUGUCAGACAAAAGGUCCUGUUUGAAAUAUCAUCCUCCCCGGAGUCGGCUCAAAAAGCUAACCGUUUUGAUCAAGCACGUAAUUGAAACAUUUCUUUCCGCCUUGCCAGUCAUAAAGGUCCCAUUCCAGUUAUCCCAAAACUCUCUCUUCCCACUUUCGCCAACUAUCCAACUAUUGAGCGUAGGAAAAGCAAUGAAGAAGAAGGGGGAGGCAGAGAGAGGGAACGGGUAAAGGCAGCCCGCCCAACUUCGAAGUCCCUACUUCCUGUUCCUCUCAGUGCGACCAUUUCGCCAAUUCUAAGCACCAAGGAAGGACCGAACCCGUUGAUCUUCAAUAAAGGAACGCUUGAUUGUACGCGUGCGUCAUUCUUGUUCACUGACCAACCCGGAAGGCAAGGGAGAACCCAGGGUGACCCAUCCAAGCUAACGGCGUGUGAGAAAGGAACAAAGAGACGAAAAAAAUAAGAGCCUCGUAAAUGAACGUCAUAUUUCUGGUUCUGUGGGCCCCAUUCCAGUCCUCUUCCUUCUCGUUCCUCCGACAGUCCAUUUUAGGGAUGUGCAAGAUUUUCUUGAUGCGAAAUUUUGGUCUAGAUACUUUUUUCGGAAACGCCUUUCAUUUUUCUCUUACCUCGUAUCGUAUUAUAUUGAACGCAAAAAAUAGAUAAAUUUCUCAUGUGUGCCCAGAAAUGGACAAUUGAUCUAACAAUUUUCGGCAACUUCAAUGUCCCUGCAUAAAUUUGACAUGUUUGUAACAAAUCGGAUUAAAGAUUGCAUUGAAAAGG